GCUCAGUAACACGUGGAUAACGUACCCUAAAGUGGAGCAUAAUCUCGGGAAACUGAGGAUAAUUCUCCAUAGACCAAGAGAUCUGGAAUGACUUUUGGUUCAAAGUUCCGGCGCUUUAGGAUCGGUCUGCGGCCUAUCAGGUAGUAGUGGGUGUAACGGACCCACUAGCCAAUUACGGGUAUGGGCCUUGAGAGAGGGAGCCCAGAGUUGGAUUCUGAGACACGAAUCAGGCCCUACGGGGCGCAGCAGUCGCGAAAACUUCACAAUGGGCGAAAGCCCGAUGAGGGAAUUCCUAGUGCUAGCACAUUAGUGUUAGCUUUUCCUUAGCGUAGAUAACUAGGGGAAUAAGGGCUGGGUAAGACGGGUGCCAGCCGCCGCGGUAAUACCCGCAGCCCGAGUGGUGGUCGAUUUUAUUGAGUCUAAAACGUUCGUAGCCGGUCUGAUAAAUCCUUGGGUAAAUCGGGAAGCUUAACUUUCCGAAUUCCGAGGAGACUGUCAGGCUUGGGAUCGGGAGAGGUAUGAGGUACUUCAGGGGUAGGGGUAAAAUCCUGUAAUCCUUGGAGGACCACCGGUGGCGAAGGCGUCAUACUAGAACGGAUCCGACGGUGAGGGACGAAGCCCUGGGUCGCAAACGGGAUUAGAUACCCCGGUAGUCCAGGGUGUAAACGCUGCAGACUUGGUGUUGGAGACCCUUCGGGGGUGUUCAGUGCCGGAGAGAAGUUGUUAAGUCUGCUACUUGGGGAGUACGUCCGCAAGGAUGAAACUUAAAGGAAUUGGCGGGGGAGCACCGCAACGGGAG
rnacentral:rRNA from 1 species